rnacentral:misc_RNA from 1 species
AAGUCGUAACAAGGUAACCGUAGGUGAACCUGCGGUUGGAUCAUUAAUAAAUGAUUGGUUCUAGGUUCGAGGGUCUUUGUGAUUCUCGCCUAGAGCUAUAAACCUCUGUGCACUGUAUUGUCUUUGGGUUUGAGUUCUGUUCUGCAGAGCUUGGGCCCGACUGUUUAAAAACCCCUUUCAAUUGACUGACCUUUCUAAGAGAAUUUAGAGAUAACUUUUAACAACGGAUCUCUUGGCUCUC